AUUUCGCGGCCGCUCUGCACGGCCAGGCCCUUGGGCCGAGCCCCCAAGGCGUUGAAGGGCUGGGCGGCAGGCGGACAAAGGGCCCGGGCAUUUCACGGUCUGGCUUUAGGGCCGGGAGCCCUGGCCACGCUGACACUGACCGGGGCCCGUGGGGGGCAGCCCCGCCCUGCAGGGGGCCGGGGAGCCAGCGCUGGCACUGCCCUGAGGCGGCCGGGGCUGGCUCCCUGCCCUGCACGCCGCCCGCGGCCCCCCCGGGUGGGGGGGCAGACCCAGCACCGCCGGGCAGCGCCCCACACUUCAGCCCCCGGGGAAGCAGCGGCCGGUGCCCUGCCCCAUCCCGCUGGGCACGGGGGUGGCCAGCCCCGUCCCGGGCAGCGGGUCACGCAGUCCUUGCCGCGCGGGCUGCCCGGGCAAAGGGCCCGGGUUGGGCCGCGGACCGAACGGGCGGAAACCCGCAGCGGCAGCGAGCGCGGCCCCCCAGCCCCGUACCUUGGCCAUGGCGGGAGAAGGCGGCGGCGGCAGAGGCGCGCUCGGGGCCCGGCUGGCUCAGGCCCCACCACCUGGUUUCAAGUGAUUGUAUGAGGCUCUCAGCUUCCAGCUAAAAGAAAAAGUCAGUGACAGAGCCAGAAAUAGAGCCCAGGUCUCUUGAGAGUCACUCCACACUGCCCCUAUGGUAUCAGCACUUCUUAUUUUCCAGUUCUAUGAUUUGGAGACUUCAAGUGACAGAGAUCCAUGACAUCAACAAGUAAGAUGAUCCAAUGGUUUCUUAUCCUCACUGUUAAAAAGGUGUGCCUAUUUCUAGUCUGAACCUAUCUAGCUUCAGAUUCUAGCCAUUAGAUUUUGUUAUGCCUUUGCCUGCUAAAUUAAAGAGCCCUCUACUAUCAGAAGUCUUCUCCCUCAUAUCAUUCUUUUCUAAACCCUUUCCAAUUUACCAAAAUCCUUUUGAAAGUGUGGAACCCAGAACUGAACACAGUAAUGGCCUCACUAAUGCUGUAGAAAGAGGUAAUAUCUCCCCACUUCUACUCAAUAGUCCCCAACACAUACAUUGGCUUACACUGGGUCUCUUAGCUACAGUAUCACACUGGCAUCUUGUGUUUAGUUGGUUAUUCCAAGUCCUUUCUAGAGUAACUGUUUUCUAGUGAAACCUGUAAGUGUGACCUAUAUUUUUUUUUUACCUAGAUGUCUGACAUUGCAUUUGGUUAUAUUAAAACACAUACUGUUCAAACAAACCCAGCUUUCCAAGUGAUCCAGAUUGCUCUGUAGGACUAACUUAUACUUGCGUAUCAUUCCACCAUUGCCCUCUGCAAACUUUACUAGCAAUUAUUUUAUAUUUUCUUCCAGAUUAUUGUUAACAAUAUUGAAUUAUAUUGAGCCAAGAACAGAACCCUGUAGGGUGUCACAAGAAAUAUCCCGAAUGGAUGAUGAGUCUGCAUUUGCAAUGUUUGAGAUCCAUCAAUUAGUCAGUUUUUAAUCCAUUUACUAUGAGCUACAUUGACUUUUGUAUAGGAGGGGUAGGCUCUGAGGGUUACAAAACACUCACUGAGGCCUUUGUAUAGAUUGCCCUUGACCCUAGGGAAUCCACAGAGCUUGGGAACAUGACCCAAAGCUCAUUUGAAGAAGAGGUAAAUAUUACCCUCCCAUAGAGUUUUUUUUCCCCCUGGAUUCUUUUCUUCUGGAUUUUACCAUUGAGAGGGUGCUCCAGCUCUUAAACUUUAAUAUUAUUUAUUUUUGUGUGGAAAAAAAAAAAGUUAAGCUUUUUUGAGGGGGAGAUGGGUGGGGAAAGGGGUUUCUUUUGACCUGCUGAAGAAUAUGGAGGAAAUAGGAAAUUGGUCUCUGAUUGGUCUGAGAUAAUCUGGGCAGAGGACAAUUUUAUGCUAAUCAGUCCUUUUGCACACUGUGAGAGGAAGAGGAGGUAUAUACAGAUGAGGUGAUCACAGGCAAGAAGAGAAGUCAGGAAACAAGAAGGGGAGAGUCUAAAGGAAAGAACUAGCACUUUCUGUCAGUGACAGACAAGAAGCCCUGCCUCCAGAAAACCCACUCAGUCAUUUGGAAUUAGGAGAUCCUCCUGACCUAAGUAUGAAAAUGACUACACACAUUAAAUAUUGGGCAGGUCCCAUUACUUUUAAAAUAGUGACUCUUCCUUUGUCAUUGGUGAGAUACUGUCCUGCUUUGACAUACACCUCUACCCUGAUAUAAUGCUGUCCUCGGGAGCCAAAAAAUCUUACCGAGUUAUUGGUGAAACUGCGUUAUAUCGAACUUGCUUUGAUCCACCGGAGCGUGCAGCCCCGCCCCCCCCGGAGCGCUGCUUUACCGCGUUAUAUCCGAAUUUGUGUUAUAUCGGGUCACGUUAUAUCGGGGUAGAGGUGUAUUUCUAAAAUAGCUCUACCCACCGUUACGCAGUGCCUCCCCUUUUUUACACACCUAAUGUCGCUCUCCACACUCCAACACCUUAAAACGGUUUCUUCCUCUCUCUUUGUCUCUCUCUUUUUUUCUAGACUGUUACACAAAAACUUUUGGCAGAGCAACUCAUACUGAAGGAGAUGAUUGUACUAGGAUUCCAAUGAUUCACAGCCAACUGCUCUCCUACUUUCAAAGGUCUACUACGGAAUUUCCACCUAACAACAUAGUUCUCAUAGGAGUUUUUUUGUUCACUAGGAUCUAAAGGCUGAACUUAAUGGUAGUUUUGCCUGACUACAGAUUUGUUCCAUUAUCUUUUCAUCUCAUUUCCAUAAGAGGCUCUUCCAUAGCAACUUCCUGUACGGUUAUUCUGGCUGCAUUCUGUGUUUUACACCAGGUGUUUGUUUUCCUCUCCAUGCCAGCAGCGCUCAUCAUUUUAUAGCUGGCAUCUCUUUAGUUUGUAGCAGUACUUGCAUAUCCCACAGAACCACUCAAAACAAAUAUUCAAUAUCUUUUAAAAAACUAAUCAGUUUACCUUUUGUACACACAAUCACAACUUUUAUUGCCAGAUUAUAUUAUCAUUUAUAAAAAUCCAAAUCCAAAACUCCAUUCUGAUGCCAGAUAGGUUGAAUGAACAGACCAGGACAAAAAUAAUUGUUGUCAGUGAACUAAUAAUAAUUAGAAUGUUCAGGAAUAAUUCUGUAACGUUAUUGACAUGAACUGUGACCAUAUAAAUCAUUGUUGCAACCAGGGUCCUAUGGUUGCACCAGGUCUUGUACAUAGGAGGCCAAGUAAGGUGUCUAUGGAAAGUUUGUAGUUUGCUGGUUAUGAUUAUGCCAUCUGUAUGUGUGUAUAUUUCUUGUAUUUGCGGUUAUGAAUAUUGGCUAUGCACUUGUAUCUCAAUGUGUUUGAUUCUAAGUAGCUUCAGUGAAGUAUUUGGUCAGCUUUUUGAGAAAGGACUUUUCUCAGUAAGUGCCCAAUCAAGAAACAUUUAACUGACAAUGGACUUUGGGAGACGCCAGUCCACACCUGAGCUUUCCUAGGAAUGUUCAAACCAACGUGUAAACAGUGGCAUCAGCCUGCAAAAAGCUGAAUCAUUCAUAGACAUGUGACUUGCCCAGGUGGCUACAAACUCCAUCUUGUUGCUGUGACUUUGCACAAAAGAACAAAGGGGUUUCCGCCCACAAGAGAGGAAAAUAUAAAAGACCCUGGAAGCCUCACCAUUUGGUCUUCAGCUGGCUUAAAAGAUGGCCUCUUCACCCCAAAGAGAUACCUGAAAGAAACUGGAACAAAGGACAGUAACUACAGGGAUGUGAGUGAUUGCUGGACCCAGACUAGGUAGGAGUCCAGUCUGUGAAAGAAGCUUAUUGGAACAUCUCUGGGGGUGAGAUUUCAUCUAUAAUCAGUUUCUUAAUGUAUUAGGCUUAGACUUGCGUGUUUUUGUUUUAUUUUGCUUGGUAACUUACUUUGUUCUGUCUGUUAUUACUUGGGACCACUUAAAUCCUACUUUUUAUAUUUAAUAAAAUCACUUUUGCUUAUUAUUG